GUCUUAUUGAUAAUAAUUUUAAGUCUAAUCUGCCCAGUGAAUUUUAAAUGGCUGCAGUAUUUUAACUGUACAAAGGUAGCAUAAUAAUUAGUUUCUUAAUUAGGAACUGGAAUGAAUGAUUGAACGAGACAAUAACUGUCUUAAUUUAAUUUAAAGAAUUUUAUUUUUAAGUUAAAAAGCUUAAAUUUUUUUAAAAGACGAGAAGACCCUAUAGAAUUUUAUUUAAUUAUAAAGUUUAAAUUUUAGUAAUCAAAUUUUAAAUUUUUAUAAAAAAAUUUAAUUGGGGUGAUUGAAAAAUUUAUUAAACUUUUUUUUGAUUUUAGUCAUAAAUUUAUGAUUUAAUGAUCCAAUAUUAUUGAUUAUAAGAUUAAAUUACCUUAGGGAUAACAGCGUAAUUUUUUUAGAGAGUUCUUAUCGAUAAAAGAGAUUGCGACCUCGAUGUUGGAUUAAAAUUAAUUUUUAAUGUAGAAGUUAAAAUAUUAGGUCUGUUCGACCUUUAAAAUUUU
rnacentral:rRNA from 1 species